GAUGAACGCUGGCGGCGUGCCUAAUACAUGCAAGUCGAGCGAAUGGAUUAAGAGCUUGCUCUUAUGAAGUUAGCGGCGGACGGGUGAGUAACACGUGGGUAACCUGCCCAUAAGACUGGGAUAACUGCUGGAAACGGUAGCUAAUACCGGAUAUGACCAAUGAAGGCAUCUUCUGUUGGUGGAAAGAAUUUCGGUUCGGGAUGGACUCGGGGCCUAUCAGCUUGUUGGUGAGGUAGCGUCUCACCAAGGCGACGACGGGUAGCCGACCUGAGAGGGUGAUCGGCCACACUGGGACUGAGACACGGCCCAGACUCCUACGGGAGGCAGCAGGAGGGAAUCUUCCGCAAUGGACGAAAGUCUGACGGAGCAACGCCGCGUGAGUGAUGAAGGCUUUCGGGUCGUAAAACUCUGUUGUUAGGGAAGAACAAGUGCUAGUUGAAUAAGCUGGCACCUUGACGGUACCUAACCAGAAAGCCACGGCUAACUACGUGCCAGCAGCCGCAGUAA
rnacentral:rRNA from 1 species